UUGAUUUCCUUCGGGACUGAUUAUUUUGUGACUGAGUGGCGGACGGGUGAGUAACGCGUGGGUAACCUGCCUUGUACAGGGGGAUAACAGUUGGAAACGGCUGCUAAUACCGCAUAAGCGCACAGCAUCGCAUGAUGCAGUGUGAAAAACUCCGGUGGUAUAAGAUGGACCCGCGUCGGAUUAGCUAGUUGGUGAGGUAACGGCCCACCAAGGCGACGAUCCAUAGCCGACCUGAGAGGGUGACCGGCCACAUUGGGACUGAGACACGGCCCAAACUCCUACGGGAGGCAGCAGUGGGGAAUAUUGCACAAUGGGCGAAAGCCUGAUGCAGCGACGCCGCGUGAGCGAAGAAGUAUUUCGGUAUGUAAAGCUCUAUCAGCAGGGAAGAUAAUGACGGUACCUGACUAAGAAGCACCGGCUAAAUACGUGCCAGCAGCCGCGGUAAUACGUAUGGUGCAAGCGUUAUCCGGAUUUACUGGGUGUAAAGGGAGCGCAGGCGGUGCGGCAAGUCUGAUGUGAAAGCCCGGGGCUCAACCCCGGUACUGCAUUGGAAACUGUCGUACUAGAGUGUCGGAGGGGUAAGCGGAAUUCCUAGUGUAGCGGUGAAAUGCGUAGAUAUUAGGAGGAACACCAGUGGCGAAGGCGGCUUACUGGACGAUAACUGACGCUGAGGCUCGAAAGCGUGNGGAGCAAACAGGAUUAGAUACCCUGGUAGUCCACGCCNUAAACGAUGAAUACUAGGUGUUGGGAAGCAUUGCUUCUC
rnacentral:rRNA from 1 species